rnacentral:rRNA from 1 species
AACGAACGCUGGCGGCAUGCCUAACACAUGCAAGUCGAACGAGACCUUCGGGUCUAGUGGCGCACGGGUGCGUAACGCGUGGGAAUCUGCCCUUGGGUUCGGAAUAACAGUUGGAAACGACUGCUAAUACCGGAUGAUGACGUAAGUCCAAAGAUUUAUCGCCCAGGGAUGAGCCCGCGUAGGAUUAGCUAGUUGGUAGGGUAAAGGCCUACCAAGGCGACGAUCCUUAGCUGGUCUGAGAGGAUGAUCAGCCACACUGGGACUGAGACACGGCCCAGACUCCUACGGGAGGCAGCAGUGGGGAAUAUUGGACAAUGGGCGAAAGCCUGAUCCAGCAAUGCCGCGUGAGUGAUGAAGGCCUUAGGGUUGUAAAGCUCUUUUACCCGGGAUGAUAAUGACAGUACCGGGAGAAUAAGCCCCGGCUAACUCCGUG